GAAGGUCCUCUGGAUUGUAAACUUCUUUUAUCUGGGAAAAAACCCACGGUUUCUAAUGUGGUUGACGGUACCAGAUGAAUAAGCACCGGCUAACUCCGUGCCAGCAGCCGCGGUAAUACGGAGGGUGCAAGCGUUAUCCGGAUUCACUGGGUUUAAAGGGUGCGUAGGGGGGUAGGUAAGUCAAUGGUGAAAUCUCCGAGCUUAACUCGGAAACUGCCGUGGAUACUAUCUGUCUUGAAUAUCGUGGAGGUGAGCGGAAUAUGUCAUGUAGCGGUGAAAUGCUUAGAUAUGACAUAGAACACCAAUUGCGAAGGCAGCUCGCUACACUAUUAUUGACGCUGAGGCACGAAAGCGUGGGGAUCAAACAGGAUUAGAUACCCUGGUAGUCCACGCCCUAAACGAUGAAUACUCGACAUCAGCGAUACACAGUUGGUGUCUGA
rnacentral:rRNA from 1 species